CGUUAAUUUAGUCUCCGAGUUGAAAAGGCUACCGUCUGUCCCCAGACCAUGCCCUACAACCGAAAGGGUUAAGCUGGAAACGGCUUGGCCUCCCAGCUUUGGAAAGGAGAAAAGAUGAAAAGUAA
rnacentral:ncRNA from 2 species